CUUGGUAAAAUUGCCAGUGGAAUAUGUGACAACCUUCUGACAUGUGUGGUGCGGGCCUGGGACUCCAGCCGCCCUCUGCUCUUCUGUCCUGCUAUGAACACAGCCAUGUGGCAGCACCCUAUCACUGCACAGCAAGUGGCCACGCUUAAAAGCUUUGGCUACGUUGAGAUACCAUGCAUUGCCAAAAAACUAGUCUGUGGAGAUGAAGGUAAAGGCGCCAUGGCAGAGGUUUCAACUAUUGUUGAAACUGUCAAACAAUACAAUCCAGAAACAUCCUGAAUGACCUCGGACUAAACAUACCAGUGGUAAAGAGACACAAGGUUAUCUAUGGA